rnacentral:ncRNA from 1 species
CGGCCUGAGGUCGGACGAGGCUACCCGCUGAAUUUAAGCAUAUUACUAAGCGGAGGAAAAGAAACUAACGAGGAUUCCCUCAGUAACGGCGAGUGAAGCGGGACGAGCCCAGCGCCGAAUCCGGCCGCUUAUGGAGCGGACGGAAUUGUGGCGUAUGGAAUUCGCUUCGAGCGCGGACCGGCUGCCCAAUCCUUCAGAUCGAGGCUUCAUCCCCGAUGCGGGUGUCCGGCCCUUGGCGGCGGCUGGCCCGGGCUCUCGGUGUCUUCCCGGUGUCGGGUUGUUUGG